ACGGGAGGCAGCAGUGGGGAAUAUUGCACAAUGGGGGAAACCCUGAUGCAGCGACGCCGCGUGAGUGAAGAAGUAUUUCGGUAUGUAAAGCUCUAUCAGCAGGGAAGAAAAUGACGGUACCUGACUAAGAAGCCCCGGCUAACUACGUGCCAGCAGCCGCGGUAAUACGUAGGGGGCAAGCGUUAUCCGGAUUUACUGGGUGUAAAGGGAGCGCAGACGGCAAAGCAAGUCUGAAGUGAAAGCCCGGGGCUCAACCCCGGGACUGCUUUGGAAACUGUUUAGCUAGAGUACUGGAGAGGUAAGCGGAAUUCCUAGUGUAGCGGUGAAAUGCGUAGAUAUUAGGAAGAACACCAGUGGCGAAGGCGGCUUACUGGACAGCAACUGACGUUGAGGCUCGAAAGCGUGGGGAGCAAACAGGAUUAGAUACCCUGGUA
rnacentral:rRNA from 2 species